rnacentral:rRNA from 1 species
AGUGAACGCUGGCGGUAGGCCUAACACAUGCAAGUCGAACGGCAGCACAGUAAGAGCUUGCUCUUACGGGUGGCGAGUGGCGGACGGGUGAGGAAGACAUCGGAAUCUACUUUUUCGUGGGGGAUAACGUAGGGAAACUUACGCUAAUACCGCAUACGACCUACGGGUGAAAGCAGGGGAUCUUCGGACCUUGCGCGAUUGAAUGAGCCGAUGUCGGAUUAGCUAGUUGGCGGGGCAAAGGCCCACCAAGGCGACGAUCCGUAGCUGGUCUGAGAGGAUGAAUAGCCACACUGGAACUGAGACACGGUCCAGACUCCUACGCGAGGAAGCAGUGGGGAAUAUUGGACAAUGGGCGCGAGCCUGAUCCAGCCAUACCGCGUGGGUGAAGAAGGCCUUCGGGUUGUAAAGCCCUUUUGUUGGGAAAGAAAAGCAGCAGGUUAAUACCCCGCUGUUCUGACGGUACCCAAAGAAUAAGCACCGGCUAACUUCGUG